rnacentral:rRNA from 1 species
CAUAUGGAUUGUGUCAGCAGCCGCGCGGUAAUACGAAGGGACCUAGCGUAGUUCGGAAUUACUGGGCUUAAAGAGUUCGUAGGUGGUUGAAAAAGUUGGUGGUGAAAUCCCAGAGCUUAACUCUGGAACUGCCAUCAAAACUUUUCAGCUAGAGUAUGAUAGAGGAAAGCAGAAUUUCUAGUGUAGAGGUGAAAUUCGUAGAUAUUAGAAAGAAUACCAAUUGCGAAGGCAGCUUUCUGGAUCAUUACUGACGCUGAGGGACGAAAGCAUGGGUAGCGAAGAGGAUUAGAUACCCUCGUAGUCCAUGCUGUAAACGAUGUGUGUUAGACGUUGGAAAUUUAUUUUCAGUGUCGCAGCGAAAGCGAUAAACACACCGCCUGGGGAGUACGACCGCAAGGUUAAAACUCAAAUGAAUUGACGGGGACCCGCACAAGUAGUGGAGCAUGUGGUUUAAUUCGAAGAUACGCGCAGAACCUUACCAACACUUGACAUGUUCGUCGCGACUUUAAGAGAUUAAAGUUUUCGGUUCGGCCGGACGAAACACAGGUGCUGCAUGGCUGUCGUCAGCUCGUGUCGUGAGAUGUUGGGUUAAGUCCCGCAACGAGCGCAACCCUCACUUUUAGUUGCCAUCAUUAAGUUGGGCACUCUGAAAGAACUGCCAGUGAUAAGCUGGAGGAAGGUGGGGAUGACGUCAAGUCCUCAUGGCCCUUACGUGUUGGGCUACACACGUGCUACAAUGGUAUCUACAACAGGAAGCAAAACAGCGAUGUUAUGCAAAUCCUUAAAAGAUACCUCAGUUCGGAUUGCACUCUGCAACUCGAGUGCAUGAAGCUGGAAUUACUAGUAAUCGUGGAUCAGCGUGCCACGGUGAAUGCGUUCCCGGGUCUUGCACACACCGCCCGUCA